rnacentral:lncRNA from 1 species
GGGCGUCGGAAAGCGGCCUUCUGGGACUCCGCAAACUCCCGUUCUCCCUCCCCCCUCCCCCUUGCCAUUCCCUUUGCCUUCCGGGCGCCAAGUCUCUCUGGCCUCCAAGGUGAACCCAACUCCCCAGCGCGCCCCGGGUUCCCGGGUCGGGCCGGCUUCAGGCGGUGGGGAGCGGGAUCCCGGGCCCCGGGCGGGCGGGAGGGACGGGACGCGGUGCAGUGUUGUUUUUUCCCCCGCCAAUAUUGCACUCGUCCCGGCCUCCGGCCCCCCCGGCCCCCCGGCCUCCCCGCUACCCCUAGCGGGGCAGCCCCCGCCCUCCUGGCUCUCCAUCCCGGCGGAUCUUUGAUAGACUGGAGUGUCGCCGCUGCCACCGUGAGCUUACCAUCUGAGUCCUUCUGAUUGGGAUUGGGUACCAGGCGGCAGUUAUCGGGACCAGGAGGCACAUAAUCUGGGAUGCCAUCAUUGUCAUCAUCCCCAUCACACUCAUCUCCAAGUCCAUCGUUAUCAGAGUCCAGCUGGGAGCUAUUUGGCAGCUGUGGGCAGUUGUCCUUGGUGUCCUGAUGCCCAUCCCCAUCGCUAAUCAGAAGAACAGGUUGGUGAAAGUCCCGAACUUUGUCUCCCCACCCAGAGGACAACUGGCCAGGAAAUCUGCCUGUUUCUUGUCUCACCCUCUAGUCCACACUCUGCCUAACACUACGCCCUACCUCACAUUCCUAUUGACAUCUGCUGCAGAUCACACCCUUGUGAUGGACAAACUGCUCAGUACAGUCCCACCCACCCAGCCUCCUUGUCCUGGGCACGAGGUUUUUGCCUCCCUGAUUUGGAGUAUUUGGCCCUUACUAGAGAGCUGCCAGAUGAGAACUCAGAGGCUCCUCCCGGCUCACCUGCAUCCUCAAAUACGCCUUCUGUCCAGUCCUAAUCUCCAGCCCAUCGACCUCCGCUGGAGGAAUGGGGGCCAGUGCUGGAAGGCCUGCAUGUUGGUCACCCAGUUUGCAGUCCACGUAGAGAUGUAGGGCAGGGCUGGGUCUGGAGGGACCUCGGAGUCGCAGGAGAACUGUGUGUGUGCGCCCAUCAGCCAGGCCCGCUUGCUGUAGGUUCACGGCGUGGACUUUGCCAUCCUCCCGCUGGUAUCGCACCAGUACUGCCCAGGAGGGGAGAUCAGUAUGGGCGCUAUCCCCCACCCCCUGCCUCCCAGCUGAGCCUUGGAUCAACUCUGCUAGAUACCACAUCUCUAGGGCCCCUAUCCCUAAUUCUACUAUGUGGCUCUCAACACCUUGUAUUUAAUAGGUACACAAUAAAUGUUUUUGAAAUUGC